UCUGACAAGAAGCUAUAAAAUAAAUAUGAAUUAAACACAGGAUUUUUUUUUUUUUUCUAUUCAUUUGAGGCACAGAAUCCCUUGAGAGCCAAAAGACUUUAAUGGCUCCCACUGUCUACUGGAUCAAGUCCCAACACUGGGCCUGACAUGCAAAGUCUUCCUUAAUGAGACCUAGUGUUUUUGACAGGUCCACCCACCCACAUCCUCUUGUUCCAGCUAAACUUGUAGGCUUUCAGGCUUGCACCGUUAACCCUCUCUCCUCUCUCAAAUCCUUCUUCCUGUAAGUCCUUUCUUUCCACAUGUCAACUUCUAACUUCUCCUCAGUUUCACCCCUGGGGAAUAAUGCCCUUCUCUGAACCCAGUGUCCAUCCCUGGGUUCUCUGGGUUCACUGGGUUCUCUAAACCCAGUGUCCAUGUUUGGCCCCUGAAAGAUGCUGCCUUGUGUGGCUAUUUGUUUUUCUAGAUGUGUAUCCUGUUUAUAAACUACAUUCUGAACCCCCCCCCAUUAUGAACUGAGUUGUGUUCCCUCCCCAAAUUCCUAUGUUAAAGUUCUAAGUCCCAGCUCCUCAAAAUGUGAUCUUUUUUGGAUGUAAGGUUGUGGCAGAUGUAAUUAGUUAAGAUGAGGUCAGACUGGAGUAGAGUUGGCCCCUAAUCCAGUAUGACUGAUGUCCUUAUAAAAAGGAAAUCUUGGACACAGACGCACACAGGGAGAAUGUGUGGGGAACAUGAAGGCCAAGGUCGGGGUGAUGCAUCUAUAAGCCAAGGAAUACUAGAUUGCCAACAAACCACCAGUAGCUAGGAGACAGGCAUGGAACAGAUUCCCCCUCAGAACAUCUAGAAGGAACCAGCCCUGCCGACAUCUUGAUCUUAACUUCCAGGCUCCAGAACUGAAGUCUCAACAAAUAGAAGUGGUCAGAACCUCUCUCCAGCCUUGAGAAGUCUUGAAGUUCCCAUACAGAUUUUGACCUUUGGGUCUGGGUGCAAUGUCAAGUUAACUGCACAGCGUGAUACACAGAUUCAGUCUUUGUCCUCAUUACCACUUUCUGCUAGGUCUAUAUGGAGAGUUAGAACUAGUGACCCAGCAGUCCUCUGCCUUCAGAUGUCAUCUGGCCCCGUGUAAGGACUGUCCUCUGUAGGGCCACCUGCCUUGGAGACCAAUGAUCAUCCUCAUCCCAAAAGGAAUGCCCCAAAAUCAACUCCUCCGAAAGGAUCUUUGAUUGAAAAUAUCCCCAAAUGGUAAAUCAAUGUCUAAAACAAGUGAUAA